AACGUAGGACACAAGCGUUAUCCGGAGUUACUGGGCGUAAAGGGCGUGUAGGCGGAUCGGUAAGUCUACUCUGAAAGCUCCUGGCUAAACUGGGAGAGGCGAGUGGAGACUGUCGGUCUAGAGUGAGGAAGAGGAAAGUGGAAUUCCACGUGUAGCAGUGAAAUGCGUAGAGAUGUGGAGGAACACCAGAUGGCCGGAAGGACAGCCCCCCUGGGUCAACACUGACGCUCAUGCACGAAAGCGUGGGGAGCAAACAGG
rnacentral:rRNA from 1 species